rnacentral:rRNA from 1 species
UAGGGAAUCUUCCACAAUGGGCGAAAGCCUGAUGGAGCAACGCCGCGUGUGUGAUGAAGGGUUUCGGCUCGUAAAACACUGUUGUAAGAGAAGAAUGACAUUGAGAGUAACUGUUCAGUGUGUGACGGUAUCUUACCAGAAAGGAACGGCUAAAUACGUGCUAG